CGGCUGAGGUCAGCAGAGUUUACAUCCAACAUCUUAGGUUCAUUAUUUUGAUGAUCAGUUAAAAAACUCUAUAGGAAUCGAAAGUUAUAUUGAAAGUCUCAUAAAUUUGAAGUGUUUUUACUGUGUCUGGAGUAGUUUGUGCUUCGUUCAUUGUAAAAUACCCAACGACCCGAUUUAGUUUGAAUGAUUCUUGAAGCAGCCUCCCUCACACUGUUCAGGUUAGCCCCCAUAACAGAUCAGGGGACAUGCUCAUUUUAUUUUCCCCUAAAGAUUAUCAAACUGAAUUUAGUGCGAACAAAACAUUUACAUAUGAGAGGAUAGAAAAUGCUUUAUUCUUAAUUUAUUAGAAUUAUUCUUCUAUAUAGCUUUCUCUCCUUCCUCUGAACCAAAGCUCUGCCUCAUCCAGCCGCCCGGCCCUCAUGCUGCCGGUCCAGGGUCACGGAGCGGUGCCUGGACUGAUGGAGCAGCACGAGCAGAGCAAACUCAGGAAGGAGAAAACUGAAGCUCAGAGCAGGGCGAGGGAGGGUGACUGCGAGCCCUGUGAAGACAGCAGGUGGCCUGGAUGUCCCUGAAGGUGGAGCAGUCGAAGACGGCCGUGAUCAUCUUCUUUCCCAUCUUGUAGGGAUAAAAGAAGAUGUUGAUACGGACCUGUUGUUUUGGUGCCAGGUCCGGGAGCCUGUGAGAGACGCAGAGGACCAUGAGGAGUUCUACAUUUACAGCAGCAGCGUUUAUUAGCAGCAUUAAACUGGAAAACCUUUCAAUAUUACAACUAAAGCUGAGAGUCGAUCAACAAAACUCAUUUAAAAUGUGCUGGUUUUACAUUUGCUUCAUUUGCUUCAUCAACUGCGAUUUUAACGUUUGACAACAUUAACUUCUUUUGUUGUUUUUUAUAUCUUAUUUUUUAUUUUUAUUAGUCCUGAUGAUAUAUAGAGAAAUUUGAAAUUAGUAAUAAAUGUAUAAUAUAUAGAGAAAUCUGAAUUUUUGUGUCGAUUAAUAAUUGAAGCACGUGAAAACAAAUAAAGCUUUUUUUU